UGGUUAUGGCCCAUAUCAAACCUACCUCUCUCCUUCGGCUCCGACUCUUCUUCUCCAUCACGAUCGUUUCCACUCUCCUCAGCUCUCAGCUACUUUGCAAUAACCAACACCCACUCUGAAUGAUUGAUCCAUGUUCUUAACUCCUUCAUUUAUGUCAGAUGUACCCUUCCACUUCUCAUUUGUUUUACACCUAUAUAAAUUCUUUGUUGGUUAAGCAAUUUACCAAAAUCUACAUCCUCCACAGUCGAAGAUCAACCCUCAUUCUUUUUUUUGUCUGUUUCGAAAUCUAGAUCUAAAACGCAAACAGUUAACUCUUCCACA
rnacentral:lncRNA from 1 species